rnacentral:lncRNA from 1 species
UACAGUUCGUAUUUGUCAUUCUUUUUCAAAGAUCCAUUUCAAAAAGAAGCGAUAGACACGUAUAUGAUGCUUUAAGCCCAAAGGAGAAAAUACUUCUUGUCCAACAGUCCCAACUCUCAGGAACACAGCUGCACAAAGAUCUCCUACUGCAUAUGAUCUCUCAAAAGAGGGGAAUUCUUGAAUCUUGCAACGUCCAUCCACGGAUCGGAGGCACAAGAUCCGGCAGAGAUAAUGCAGCCCGUGUUGUGCACAGAGUGUGUGAACGGCCCGAGCCCCCUACAGGGCCGAAGAGACGCUAACACAGAGGGCCAGGAGAGUCAGGUGGAUCCAAUCGGGAACACGCCAUCAUGGCUAUUCAGACAUUUCCCAGGAGCUCAGCACGUACUCUUCGUUCUACCAGUUCUCUAAAACUGGGGAUCAAAGGUAACAAUGUGAGGAACCAUCCCGACUCCUGCCUACAUGCCUGGCACCCUGCACCAUUCUCCGGCCAGUCUGGGCAUCCUACAAGCAAUUCCACACGUGGCAGCUGUCAACUCCAGCCCACUUCCGCCAGCAGGGUUCCAACGCUGUUACAGGCACCACCCCUGCACCCUCUCCUCUGCGGCCUGGUGUGAGCUUUUUACUAAAUUUCAGUAUCCUUGUAAUCACCGCCUCAAG